AAGCCAGACUCCUACGGGAGGCAGCAGUGGGGAAUAUUGCACAAUGGGGGAAACCCUGAUGCAGCGACGCCGCGUGAGUGAAGAAGUAUUUCGGUAUGUAAAGCUCUAUCAGCAGGGAAGAAAAUGACGGUACCUGACUAAGAAGCCCCGGCUAACUACGUGCCAGCAGCCGCGGUAAUACGUAGGGGGCAAGCGUUAUCCGGAUUUACUGGGUGUAAAGGGAGCGUAGACGGCAUGGCAAGUCAGAUGUGAAAGCCCGGGGCUCAACCCCGGGACUGCAUUUGAAACUGUCAGGCUGGAGUGCAGGAGAGGUAAGUGGAAUUCCUAGUGUAGCGGUGAAAUGCGUAGAUAUUAGGAGGAACACCAGUGGCGAAGGCGGCUUACUGGACUGUAACUGACGUUGAGGCUCGAAAGCGUGGGGAGCAAACAGGAUUAGAUACCCUUGUACA
rnacentral:rRNA from 1 species